GACGAACGCUGGCGGCGUGCCUAAUACAUGCAAGUCGAGCGAAGUUUUUCUGGUGCUUGCACCGGAAAAACUUAGCGGCGAACGGGUGAGUAACACGUAAAGAACCUGCCUCAUAGACUGGGACAACUAUUGGAAACGAUAGCUAAUACCGGAUAACAGCAUUAACUGCAUGGUUGAUGUUUAAAAGUUGGUUUUGCUAACACUAUGAGAUGGCUUUGCGGUGCAUUAGCUAGUUGGUGGGGUAAAGGCCUACCAAGGCGACGAUGCAUAGCCGACCUGAGAGGGUGAUCGGCCACACUGGGACUGAGACACGGCCCAGACUCCUACGGGAGGCUGCAGUAGGGAAUCUUCCGCAAUGGGCGAAAGCCUGACGGAGCAACGCCGCGUGAGUGAAGAAGGAUUUCGGUUCGUAAAGCUCUGUUGUUAGGGAAGAAUGAUUGUGUAGUAACUAUACAC
rnacentral:rRNA from 1 species